GAAAGCUUUUUAGGCUAAAAUACUUAAUUUGUUGUGCGCAUUUUAAUUUCGUAAACCUGGAAAACUUUAAACUCAUGGUGAUCUGCAAAACAAUAAGCGAAAUCAGCGAUGGAAAAGAAGAAUUCAUGUGCAUUGUCAUUUUGAAUGCUUUGUUUUUCCUGAAUCGAGCUGUAAUGGGGGAUUUGUGUUUAUUUUUAUAUUACAGAGUUUGUUCUAAGCUCUGACUACUUAUAUCCACAAUAGAAUGCAUAUGUCUGUCAGAGUAUUCUAGAACGAACUGCAUGACUUUGGUAUUUUCCAAUGUAUAUGGCUAAUUGUAUAUGUUGUUGAAGUUAUUCUGCUUCAGAAUGAGAAUAAACAAAAUAUAGUUUUGUUGCACAUGCUUAAAUUUAUGGUUUUGUUUUGUUAAAUUUUGGGUAGUCUGAGCCUAAAAUUGGCCUGCCAAAUUUGAGCUGAGUCUGAGCCUCAGAGCUAUGGUACUAGCUGAAUUAGUUAGAUGGUAAGAUUGAGCCUGAACUUUAAUUUUGACAUACACUUGUAUUCAAGAUUUUCGGUUUCUCCAUUGCUUAAUUUUUUAAAUAAAGUCUUCCGGUAAAUAGAAAACACACAUUCGAUUUAUCCAGAAGACAGAUGCGCUGAGAUUUUUCUGUUUUUGAAAGUUAAAAGGCCGAUUUAUUAGUGUUUCAAACGUUUGUUCUCCGCCUCAUGGAUAUGGCUAGUGCAAGAAGUUUACUGUUACCAGGAACGCACAUAAGUUUUCAAAGUGUAGAAGUAGUCCCUGGUCCUAGUCAAGAACGGUGUUUCUUUGAAGAAGAGAUAACCUCAGGCCACAAUUCUCCACAUUACAGUCCUCCUAAUCCCACUCUUCGAACCCCAUCCUUGCUGCAUAAGGAUUACAAUAGACAGAAAUCCAGCAGAAGAGAUGAACUUCGGAGGUUCAGAACGAGCUUAUGGUGGUGGGGGCUUGAUCAGUCCACUAAGUCAAAUUUGGUUUUUUCAUGGUUUCUGUUCAUCAUGUUUACUCUGGGAGUUCCUGUUCUUAGUUCACUUUUUGUGACUUGUCCUCGCUGUAACGAAGAGCAGAGUUAUGCUUAUGAUAAAAUAGUUCAGAUUCCAGAGUCAACACUGGCUGCUAUUGCAUUCUUUUGCCUUUCACGUUAUGUGAGAAGAUAUGGCCUUCGCAAGUUUUUGUUUUUGGAUCAACUCUGCGAUGACACAGCAAAGGUGCAGCAGGGGUACACACAAGAAGUGGAUAGUUCAUUCAAACUACUGGCAUGGAUUCUCUUACCAUCAUUCCUGGUCGAGCUUCUACACAAAAUUCUGUGGUUUAUGUCUGUGACAGUUAGCAUACCAUAUAUCCAUGGUCAGAUCCUUAGCAGCUCAAUCAUGUUUGCAGCUGUUUUAGUUUCAUGGAUUUACAGAACUGGUGUAUUUCUCUUUGUUUGCAUCCUUUUUCGUUUGACAUGCCAUCUUCAAAUUCUUCGGUUUGAAGGCUAUAAAAAUUUCUUAGAAGAGUAUAGCUCUGAUGUUUAUAUACUUCUGAAGGAGCAUAUUAGAAUCAGGCACCAGCUUUUUCUGAUCAGUCAUCGAUUCCGUGUUUUUAUUCUGGCUUCUUUGCUUACCAUUAGUGUGAGCCAGCUAAUGGCACUUGCAAUGAUGUUAUCCUCGACUUCCAAAAUUAACUUUUUCACUGCAGGCGAUUUGGUGGUUUGCUCUGCGGUUCAGCUCACCGGUUUCUUGCUUUGUCUGUUGGAAGCUGCGAGGAUAACCCAUAGAGCUCAAGGACUUGUCUCCAUGGCCACUAGGUGGCAUUCAUUAUCCACAUGCUCCUCUCAUGGCGCCUAUUAUUCUGAGAAAGCAGAUUUGCCUGAUUCUUUUGGGCAAAAUCCAAGUUCUAUCACUCCUUUUUCAACAGCAAAUUCAGAUAAUGAUUCUGAAUCAUCUGAAAUAUUUUUCAUGUUUCCUUCAAAAGAUGCAGUAGCGGCUUUUCAAAUGAGGCAAUCCUUUGUAACAUACCUAAAACAUAACAGUGGAGGCAUCACUUUGUUUGGAUUUGUUUUGGAUCGUGGUUUACUAUAUACAAUCUUUGCCUUCGAGUUCUCGCUGUUAUCUUGAAAUAUGGUAAGAUGCUACCAUAAUUGUAGUUUUUCUGUGGAGUGAUUGCACCCUUAAGGAGCCCCUGGCACUUUUCUGAUAUUUGACUUGAUCUUAACAUGAAUCCUGGUCAACGACCACUGAAGUUCUUGAAAAUUGAUAUAAUUUUCAAUCUGGGAAUCAUUGAAUGCACUUUAGACUUUUAUUGCAUUGUUUUUUAAAGGCAGAACAUUUGAAUCCAACUCAAGCAAUUUUUAUUGCCUUGGAAUUACAUGAGAGCAAUUGAACUGGUUCGUCUUGCAAUAUUAAUUUUUCAUUACAAUUGAAGACUGGUUGAGGAAUCUCAAUAUUGACACUCUAUAAGGUGUUUUUUACAUAUCGAGAGUUUACUUGUUCAUUUUAAAAAUGGAGUAUACAGUUGCAGUUUUGUAUAAUGGUAGAAGAUAACUUGAGCAUAUCAUUUAAUCUUACUUGUGACGAGCUCAUAGUCAAAGAUGUAAGUCCAAAGGAACAGUAGGUUAUGAUACAUAAUUGUCUGGUUUUAUUAGGCUUUUGAAACUAGACCAGGGAUUGCGCUCAACUCUUGAUCCAUUGAUGCAUGCUACAUGCAGAUCUAAGAACUUACAGAAAAAAAAUAACUAUUAUUGACUUUAAUUGCUCUAAUCUCCACUUGAUCUUAAACAAGCACAAGAAUCCAAGAAUUGUAAAUUUUCUUUGGCCUGUAAGUAAUAACAUCUUGUUUUGUUUCAA